UACGGGGGGAGCAAGCGUUGUUCGGAUUUACUGGGCGUAAAGGGCGCGUAGGCGGUCGUGACAAGUCACUUGUGAAAUCUCCGGGCUUAACUCGGAACGGUCAAGUGAUACUGUCGGACUAGAGUACAGAAGGGGCAACUGGAAUUCUCGGUGUAGUGGUGAAAUGCGUAGAGAUCCGGAGGAACCCACGAGGCGAAGGCGGCGUCCUGGCUCGCAUCUGACGCUCAGACACGACAGCAUGGGGAGCGAACGGG
rnacentral:rRNA from 1 species